GAUGAACGCUGGCGGCGUGCCUAAUACAUGCAAGUCGAGCGAACGGACGAGAAGCUUGCUUCUCUGAUGUUAGCGGCGGACGGGUGAGUAACACGUGGAUAACCUACCUAUAAGACUGGGAUAAAUUCGGGAAACCGGAGCUAAUACCGGAUAAUAUUUUGAACCGCAUGGUUCAAAAGUGAAAGACGGUCUUGCUGUCACUUAUAGAUGGAUCCGCGCUGCAUUAGCUAGUUGGUAAGGUAACGGCUUACGAAGGCAACGAUGCAUAGGCGACCUGAGAGGGGGAUAGGCCACACGGGAACUGAACCACGGUCCAGACUCCUACGGGAGGGAGCAGUAGGGAAUCUUCCGCAAUGGGCGAAAGCCUGACGGAGCAACGCCGCGUGAGUGAUGAAGAUCUUCGGAUCGUAAAACUCUGUUAUUAGGGAAGAACAUAUGUGUAAGUAACUGUGCACAUCUUGACGGUACCUAAUCAGAAAGCCACGGCUAACUACGUG
rnacentral:rRNA from 1 species